CUUGGAGGAGGGGCGCCCCCUUACUCCUCCCUCCUGGAAAACAAGAAAAGAUCCCUUUGCAAGCACCAGCUGGCAGGCUUGAGCGGUGGAGAAAUGCUGGCACCAUUCUGUGGGCAGGUAACCUGAUAACCUAGAGCCACGAGAGCUGUCUCGUGCUGCCGAUGACUGCGACCGAGGGCAGGCUGUGCAGCUCCUGAGCUUCCAUCUGCUCUCGGGACCAGGCCUUAAUGACACAACUUCCUCCUGACUCCACUGGACACUUCUGCCAGGACAAGGUGGAGGCUGAAAGAAUUAACCUCACGGAAAUCUAAGAGUGCUCCCAAGAUGGAAUUAAAUGGUAAGUUUAUUUUGGUGUGAGAAACUUGGGAAUCCAAGCACCCCUGAGGAUGGCCUGGGGGAAUAAUGCAGGGGAGGGUAUGGUGCCCAGUAACCACUACAGCUGCUCUUCCUAGGGUGGAGGAGGGAGUGGGCUUCUGCAUCUUCUCUUUAUUUAUUUAUUUGAAAGGCAGAGGGACAAUGACAGAGACAGACAGAAAUC